GACAGAGGUGGCUAGCGUUGUUCGGAUUCAUUGGGUGUAAAGGGUGCGUAGGCGGCUUAGAAAGUCAGAUGUGAAAUCCCACAGCUCAACUGUGGAACUGCAUCUGAAACUUCUAGGCUAGAGUACGAGAGAGGUGAAGGGAAUUCCCGGUGUAAGGGUGAAAUCUGCAGAGAUCGGGAGGAACACCAGUAGCGAAGGCGCUUCACUGGCUCGUAACUGACGCUGAGUGCACGAAGGCGUGGGGAGCAAACGGG
rnacentral:rRNA from 1 species